rnacentral:snoRNA from 1 species
UGGAGGAUUGAGAAGGUUGAACAGCUUCCUCUGUGCUGUCCUAACUGGUUAUAACCUCCAAGAGCAACCAACAAACG